UACGUAGGGUCCGAGCGUUGUCCGGAAUUAUUGGGCGUAAAGAGCUCGUAGGCGGUUCGUCGCGUCGGCUGUGAAAUCCCGAGGCUCAACCUCGGGUCUGCAGUCGAUACGGGCGGACUGGAGUUCGGCAGGGGAGACUGGAAUUCCUGGUGUAGCGGUGAAAUGCGCAGAUAUCAGGAGGAACACCGGUGGCGAAGGCGGGUCUCUGGGCCGAUACUGACGUGAGGAGCGAAAGCGUGGGGAGCGAACAGG
rnacentral:rRNA from 1 species